UACGGAGGGUGCAAGCGUUAUCCGGAUUCACUGGGUUUAAAGGGUGCGUAGGCGGGCAGGUAAGUCAGUGGUGAAAUCUUUGGGCUUAACCCGAAAACUGCCAUUGAUACUAUCUGUCUUGAAUAUUGUGGAGGUGAGCGGAAUAUGUCAUGUAGCGGUGAAAUGCUUAGAUAUUGGGAGGAACACCAGUGGCGAAGGCGGCUCACUGGACCGGAACUGACGCUGAGGCGCGAAAGCGUGGGGAGCAAACAGG
rnacentral:rRNA from 1 species